UUUGGAAUUUUGGACAAUGGGCGAAAGCCUGAUCCAGCGACGCCGCGUGGACGAUGAAGGCCUUCGGGUCGUAAAGUCCUUUUGCUCGGGAACAAUCCGCCAACCGGCGGAUGAGCGUACCGAGAGAAUAAGAGGUUGCUAACUCUGUGCCAGCAGCAGCGGUAAUACAGAGACCUCAAGCGUUAUCCGGAAUCAUUGGGCGUAAAGCGUACCGAUAGGUGGUUUUACAAGUCAGAAGUGAAAUCUUAAAGCUCAACUUUGAGACUGUCUUUUGAAACUGUAAAACUAGAGGGGCAAAGAGGAAGCUGGAACAAACGGUGUAGUAGUGAAAUGCGUUGAUAUCGUUUGGAACACCAAUAGCGUAGGCAGGCUUCUGGGUGCCACCUGACACUGCUAGGACGAAAGCGUGGGGAGCGAUAAGG
rnacentral:rRNA from 1 species